GACGAGCCACACAAACGUUAUUCGGAAUUACUGGGCUUAAAGGGCGCGUAGGCGGCUUGGUCAGUCCCGUGUGAAAUCCCUCGGCUCAACUGAGGAACUGCACGGGAAACUGCCUGGCUUGAGUUCGGGAGAGGGAAGCGGAAUUCCGGGUGUAGCGGUGAAAUGCGUAGAUAUCCGGAGGAACACCGGUGGCGAAGGCGGCUUCCUGGGCCGACACUGACGCUGAGGCGCGAAAGCUAGGGGAGCAAACGGG
rnacentral:rRNA from 1 species